rnacentral:rRNA from 1 species
AGAGCGAACGCUGGCGGCAGGCCUAAUACAUGCAAGUCGAACGGAUCCUUCGGGAUUAGUGGCGGACGGGUGAGUAACGCGUGGGAACGUGCCCUUUGGUUCGGAACAACUCAGGGAAACUUGAGCUAAUACCGAAUGUGCCCUUCGGGGGAAAGAUUUAUCGCCAUUGGAGCGGCCCGCGUCUGAUUAGCUAGUUGGUGGGGUAAAGGCCCACCAAGGCUACGAUCAGUAGCUGGUCUGAGAGGAUGAUCAGCCACACUGGGACUGAGACACGGCCCAGACUCCUACGGGAGGCAGCAGUAGGGAAUCUUGCGCAAUGGGCGAAAGCCUGACGCAGCCAUGCCGCGUGAAUGAUGAAGGUCUUAGGAUUGUAAAAUUCUUUCAGCGGGGACGAUAAUGACGGUACCCGCAGAAGAAGCCCCGGCUAACUUCGCGCCAGCAGCCGC